rnacentral:rRNA from 1 species
UACAGGGGGGGGCAAGCGUUGUUCGGAAUUACUGGGCGUAAAGGGCCAGUAGGCGGCCAACUAAGUCACACGUGAAAUCCCCAGGCUUAACCUGGGAACUGCGUGUGAUACUGGAUGGCUUGAAUUCGGGAGAGGGAUGCAGAAUUCCAGGUGUAGCGGUGAAAUGCGUAGAUAUCUGGAGGAACACCGGUGGCGAAGGCGGCUCUCUGGACCGAGACUGACGCUGAGGCGCGAAAGCGUGGGGAGCAAACAGG